CCUACGGGAGGCAGCAGUGGGGAAUAUUGGACAAUGGGCGAAAGCCUGAUCCAGCAAUGCCGCGUGAGUGAUGAAGGCCUUAGGGUCGUAAAGCUCUUUUACCCGGGAUGAUAAUGACAGUACCGGGAGAAUAAGCUCCGGCUAACUCCGUGCCAGCAGCCGCGGUAAUACGGAGGGAGCUAGCGUUGUUCGGAAUUACUGGGCGUAAAGCGCACGUAGGCGGUUAUUCAAGUCAGAGGUGAAAGCCCGGGGCUCAACCCCGGAACUGCCUUUGAAACUAGGUAGCUAGAAUCUUGGAGAGGCGAGUGGAAAUUCCGAGUGUAGAGGUGAAAUUCGUAGAUAUUCGGAAGAACACCAGG
rnacentral:rRNA from 1 species